rnacentral:lncRNA from 1 species
UGAUGAAGGAGAUGAUUGGGGAUGUUCUGCAAUCUCUAAAAGAUUAGGUGGGUAAUCAUUUAUGAGUUUCUAUUUGCUUUGUCAUUGCAAGUAGUUUGUUUGUAAAGUUUGAAUUUUAUUGAUACUAUUAUUGAUUGGUCUAUUUUAAUUUCUUGAAUUUAUUAAGAGAUCAAAUGACACAAAAAAAUGAAAGAAUUGAGCACAAUUUUUAACCAGAUAACAAGCUCACAUUUCUUGUUUUAGAGUAUAUUAUUAUAGAAUGUAAGAAUGAUGCAUAAGAAAUUGGUUUCAUGGAUUAGAGUUUUAGUUCACUAGCUACUCUUUACACUAGAGUAAUUAUUUAUUUCUGGGUUUCAUAUAGUUAUUUAGGAGGUAUUCCAUUAUUUAUUCCAUUGCUUGUGUUAGAAUUACAUAACUAACUAUGUUGCCCUUUUCUAGCAGGGUGUCUAUAUCUGCAUUUUAUGUGAUUAAAAGCUUCAUGAGCUUAUUAUAUAAAUUUCGAAGUGUGACUCUCUUGCUUGUCAAAGUUGUCCAAAGCCUAGGCAUGAUCAGUCCAUCAAUGUGGUUCUAUUUUAUACUCCCUUGGUCUUGUUGUGAAAAGUUUCUACAAUAUAUAUGCUAUUUUCUAUCAAAGACUCGUCGAUCUAUUUUCUUUGACUAUCAUUGGACUUUUGCCAGUUAUGCUGUAAUUAACAAAUUGAUUCUCUCUCUUUGUGCUAUUUUCAGGACGCCAUUAUAAGAUCCAUCUUGUUAUUCUCACCUCUUGUUGUCCUAAUCGCUCGAGGUAUUGGUUCAUUUCUCAUUGUGACCUAUUUUUCUCUGAAUUAGAGUUUAUGAUGAUUGAUUUGAAAUUUUAUAAUGUUUAUAAGUAGUUUAAGUAAUCAUUCAUUUUUAAUUCAAACAAUAGAGUUAAAGUGUCAUUUUUUAGGAGGGAAAUUGCGGUACUGACUAAUUAUGUCUUCACAUAGAGUAACAAAAUGUUGGCUAGUCAAGAAUGGCCUCCAUAGGAAAUAUAAAUCUGCCAGUUUCAGCAUUAAUAAUUGAAUUACUAUAUCUUGCCAUAAUAUAAAACCCACAACAAUAGGCAGUGCUGAAGUGUAUGGCAGAUGAUCUGGAAAACAAGGAAAUUAUAGAAAGGCUUUGGUUACACUCCCAACUCUAGUUCUAUACUAAAUUUGACUUAUAGUUAUGAUUAAGAUCGUCGAAAUUACUGUCAUGGUAACUUUUUGAUGAUGAUUAUAACCUGGAUAUAUAGUGAACAAGGACAUAAAUAAGUGAUUGUUCUUUGCCUAGUGAUCUGAAUUAGGAAAAUUCAACAAAAUUUGAAGCAUAUUGGUGCAGGUCUCCAUUUGCAUUCCUCUAAACAUAGUGAUUUAAAUUUGCUAAAUUUUAAUUAUUUUUUUUCACAGAACCACAUAAAUACUCUCAUUGAGUCCCACACAAAAGCUUAACUUGUGAGCUUAUAACUACUUGAGCAUCUUUUGUAGAUAAACUGGUUUUAAAUAUGUGAUCUACUUGACAUGCUCAGAAGUAGAUCACAUGCUCAGAAUACUUCAACUAGUUUUUAGUAACAUAAAUUCUUUUUUACGAGAGAUGCUUGAAAAUCUCUUGCACGGUAUCCUCAAUUUGUUAUAAGCUAAUACUAACAAUAGCCAGAAUUCAAAUGGAAAUUUCUAUCAGUUGGGCUAAGAUAGAAAUAAUUAGCUUAUUCACCAGGCUAAAUGAUUCACAAAUCGAUCACUCACUUUGUCUUCAUAUUUAUGCUGCUGUAUCCAUAAAAUAAGUUAUGUUUUUAGUUUACUGAUAGCAAAGUAUGAUCCUGUAAAGAUGCCUGAAACUUGUGGAUUGGUAUAUCUUGAUUGUAAAAUAAAUGCCCCUCUAGAUUACAAAUGAAACUGGUACAAACUGUCAGGCAGUUUGCAACUCCACUUUUUUUUUUUUGAAUUUGAAAGACUGGAAAAUGAGAAAGAAUUAGAAGAAGAAUGUGAAAAGUUUACGUGGCGUCAUGAGAAUGUGUUUGAUGGAAAGCAUUCCUUUUUAUAAUUAGUUAGGUAUUUAAUUUUACUCGGCAAUAUAUUGGUUCCAUUUCUCCAUCUAUGAAAUGCAGCUUUUCCAAAUUAGUUCCACUCACUUUUAGAAAUAUAUUGUUCCAAAUUCUUUCUUGAAUUGUACAAUCUAGGGGUCAAAUGAGUAGAAAAUAGUAGAUUUUCUGUGAAGUAUUUAGAAAAUAUCAAGAGAAAUAUGAAUUACAUUAUAUGAUUGCAAAAAUUAAUAUUCGUUUCAAAUAUUGCAAUUUACUUAUGAGAAUGACUUAUAAGGAGACAUAGGAGAGAUUGUCAAUCAUAAUUUAUUGUUUAAUUCUUUUAACGAAUAUUUAUGAAGGAUCUUUAUUGCAGAUGUUUUUGUGGUGUCACUGGAUAAGACCAGAAAAGCAACACGCAAUGCAGUAAAUAUUUUUGCCAUUCCAUGCAGUGCAAAUGGUAGGCUUUAUGAUGGCUAUUGCAUUAGGCACUGCCAACGUUGAUUAUGGAACUUGUUAUAUUAUUUCUUUUUAUUUUGCUUUUGAAUGGAUGAAUGAAAGUAAACUUGAUCUGGGAAGCGAUGCAUAAUUUGUUGGACAUGAAAUGUAUCCAAAAUUUAAGCUUUCUUAUGAACAAGCAUUCACUCGUGAGAAACUUUUGUUUGUUGGAAAUUACAUUUGGC